AUUGAACGCUGGCGGCAUGCUUUACACAUGCAAGUCGAACGGCAGCGCGGGCUUCGGCCUGGCGGCGAGUGGCGAACGGGUGAGUAAUACAUCGGAACGUGCCCAGUAGUGGGGGGUGGCACGACGAAAGCAGGAUUAAUACAACAUCCGACAUGAGGUUGAAACCCGGGGAUCUUCGGACCACGAGGCAUUGGCGCGACCGAUGGAAGAUUGCCCGGUUGGUGGGGUAAAGGCCUACCAAGGGGACGACCUAUAGCUGGUCUGAGAGGACGACCGGCCACACUGGAACGGGGACACGGCCCAGCCUCCUACGGGAGGCAGCAGUGGGGAAUUUUGGACAAUGGGCGAAAGCCUGAUCCAGCAAGGCCGCGUGGGUGAUGAAGGCCUUCGGGUUGUAAAGCACUUUUGGCGGGAACGAAAAGGACUGUGCCAAUACCACGGUUCGAUGACGGUACCCGCAGAGUAAGCACCGGCUAACUACGUG
rnacentral:rRNA from 1 species